UACGUAGGGUGCGAGCGUUAAUCGGAAUUACUGGGCGUAAAGCGUGCGCAGGCGGUUUGUUAAGUCCGUUGUGAAAGCCCCGAGCUCAACUUGGGAAUUGCAGUGGAUACUGGCAGGCUGGAGUACGGUAGAGGAAGGUGGAAUUCCCGGUGUAGCAGUGAAAUGCGUAGAGAUCGGGAGGAACACCAGUGGCGAAGGCGGCUUUCUGGUCUGUAACUGACGCUGAGGCGCGAAAGCGUGGGGAGCAAACAGG
rnacentral:rRNA from 1 species